GAUGAACGCUGGCGGCGUGCUUAACACAUGCAAGUCGAACGGUGAAGGCGGAGCUUGCUCUGCUGGAUCAGUGGCGAACGGGUGAGUAACACGUGAGCAAUCUGCCCCUGACUCUGGGAUAAGCGCUGGAAACGGCGUCUAAUACUGGAUACGAGCUGCGAAGGCAUCUUCAGCAGCUGGAAAGAACUUCGGUCAGGGAUGAGCUCGCGGCCUAUCAGCUUGUUUGUGAGGUAACGGCUCACCAAGGCGUCGACGGGUAGCCGGCCUGAGAGGGUGACCGGCCACAGUGGGACUGAGACACGGCCCAGACUCCUACGGGAGGCAGCAGUGGGGAAUAUUGCACAAUGGGCGAAAGCCUGAUGCAGCAACGCCGCGUGAGGGACGACGGCCUUCGGGUUGUAAACCUCUUUUGGCGGGGAAGAAGCGAAAGUGACGGUACCUGCAGAAAAAGCGCCGGCUAACUACGUG
rnacentral:rRNA from 1 species